AAAGGAAGUUGACGGGGCCGCACAAGCGGUGGAGCAUGUGGUUUAAUUCGAUGCAACGCGAAGAACCUUACCUGGGCUUGACAUCCCGGGAAUCCCCUGGAAACAGGGGAGUGCCCUUCGGGGAACCCGGUGACAGGUGCUGCAUGGCUGUCGUCAGCUCGUGUCGUGAGAUGUUGGGUUAAGUCCCGCAACGAGCGCAACCCUUGUCUUUAAUUGCCAUCAUUUAGUUGAGCACUUUAAAGAGACUGCCGGUGUUAAGCCGGAGGAAGGUGGGGAUGACGUCAAGUCCUCAUGGCCCUUAUGGGUAGGGCUCCACACGUCAUACAAUGGUCGGUACAGAGGGUUGCCAACCCGCGAGGGGGAGCUAAUCCCACAAAGCCGAUCGUAGUCCGGAUCGCAGUCUGCAACUCGACUGCGUGAAGUCGGAAUCGCUAGUAAUCGUGGAUCAGCAUGUCACGGUGAAUACGUUCCCGGGUCUU
rnacentral:rRNA from 1 species